CCGCCUGGCCUGGCAGCCCCCCCGGGCCACCCUGAGCCUGCCCCGGGUGUGGGACAACGACAGCGGGCGCUACCUGUGCCGGGUGACCCUGGAGAUCCCCCGCUAUGCCACGGCCACCGGCGCGGGCACCGUCAUCAUCGUCACCAACGUCACCGAUGUCACCAACGUCACCGAUGUCACCGGCACCGGGCACGACGGCACCGCCGGGGUGCUGUGGGGGGUGCUGGGGGGCCUGGGGGGCACAGCCCUCCUGGGGACAGCCCUCCUCGGCUACUACUGCUGUCACAGGAGCUCAGACACGCCCAUCUACCAGAACGUGGUGCCCCCCCCGCCGCGGGACCCCAAAAAGCUACCCCGGCCCCCCGCCGCGGUGGCCACGGACAACCUGUACCAGGGGGUGCCGUGGUGG